AGGAAACCUUCCUAGUUUGUGCAACAUAUGCGCCAAAUGAUGGUGAAAACAUAAGACUUUGUCUUCAGCCAGAAGCCACUCUUUAGGUAAAGGAGGAAAAUGGAUGCCAAGAGAAGCUUCUUUUCUUUUUUGUUUUUUAAAGUGUGAGAGGCAGAGCUCAUUGGUGGAGUGCUUUCUUCUUCUACUAUAAGGAUUAAAAGCUUUGAAAGUGACAAUGUACCAGCAACAAAUGUGAGUUUCAUGAGAUUGUCAAAGUGUCCCAAAACAUUAAAGGUAAAUCAAUUUAUCUAUCUCCACCCUUGUUUAAGCAAAGGGUAUUAUUAUAGAGGUUAUUCCUCUCAUUUGCAUGAGCCACACACCCUCUUCACCAAAUGGGGUGGCUCCACUCCCUCUUCUCUCCACUCAAGAAGCUUUGGUUCAGGAUGCAUUCCACCACUCAAAACAAGGGAAGAGGGAUAUACAUUCUGUAUGAAGAUGUGAAAUCUUGCCCCUAUGAAGACGUGCACGUCCUCUGGUCAAUACUGGUGGAAUCAAAUUCAGCUUCUUUGCCAUCCAAAAAAUAAAGGCUAUGAACAAAACGGAACUUAGAAGAGGAUCGUAAUAAUAAUGUACAUAAAGUAUUUAUCAAUGUUCAUACACACUCUUUUCUUUCUUUUCUUUUACUUUUUUUUUCCAUCUUUUAUAAAGCAUUCUAAUUUCUAAGUGCUUAUCAACAGUCCAACACUUGUUUUUUUCUCGCA